GUAUACCAUAGUGGUAGGGCUGGGUUGAGGAUCUUAGUCCUCUGGAGGCAGAGAAUGAGGGAACAUGAACAUGUUUGGGGGGUGUGGUGCCAGACCCAGGUUUCAGAGCUGGGUGUCUUUCUGGACUAGUCUUCAGUACCCCUGAUAAUCGUCCUCAUUAGGAGUUACCUUCCUUAGCACCCCCUCUCCUAUGGACCCUAUGCCAAAACCAGAGCAAGCCCAGGACCCCCUCCUGCUUCAGACUGCACACAUGGGUGGGUGCUGUCCUUCCAAACAUUUCUGCAUAAACAGGGAGAUGGGGGGGCAGGGGAAGGAGUAUGAGGUGGGAAGGACGUGUGAGGAGACGUUUGGAAUAUUAGUGUUAGUAGGGAGAGGAGGACCCAAAGGAAGUUGAAAGGUGUGAGGAGGGAGAGGACUGAGGAUCACAGUGGAGAUAAAAGUGAGAAGGUGGAAGCCCCGUGGAGAGAGGCCGUGCUGGGCAGUCGUCUGGGGAACAAAGCUGAGAUGUGGGGACACCACCUGGAUGGACGGGGAUGAUGGACAGAAGGAAAUAGGGGAAGAGAGUGUGUGAGUCAGGACUCUUAGUUCAAGGAGCAAAAACCUAAUUCAGGGGGCCAGCCCCGUGGCCAAGUGGUUAAGUUCAUGCACUCUGCCUCGGCAGCCCAGGGUUUCGCCAGUUGGAAUCCUGGGCGCGGACAUGGCAUCAGGCCAUGCUGAGGCGGCAUCCCACAUGCCACAACUAGAAGAACCCACAACUGAAAAUAGACAACUAUGUACUGGGGGGCUUUGGGAGAAAAAGGGAAAAUACAAAAAAUCUUUAAAAAGAAAAAGCUAAUUCAGAGUAGCCUGAGAGGGUUUAGAGUAGAGAGAAUAAGAAGUGAUUGACUCAUGCAGAGUGUCAGGGACUUUAGCCUCAGGUGGACCCAGGGCUCGCACAAAACCUAGAUGUCUGCCCUGAGUUUUUCUCUGCUUUCUUAGAGUAGCUUUUAUGCUGAGGCUGCACACAGUGGUCCUGACCAUGCCAGGAUCCGUCAUUCUUAAAGUUGGCGGUACCAGGAAGAAAACAUCUCCCAGACACUUGCACAGGUUUCGCAGAAUGGGGUCUCACUGACUGGUUCAUGAGUCCAUCCUGGAAACUGUCCCCACAGCAAGGUGGGUUCCAAACAUCUCAGGUGCCAGCUGCGCCUCAUACCCACCCUGGAGCUCCCGAGGCUCGCAGGCAGAGUGUGGGGCUCAGGACGUCGACAGGAACAUCAGGAGCUGUCAUGGAAGUUGACCAGCUGCUGCACGGGCAGAGUCAGCAGCUGUCCGCACCAGGGCAGGAGCCAGGACGCACCAUUCAGUUUUAAAAUUACCAUCACAAAGAGCAAUAAAAUUCUGGAUUUUGGCGGGGAUAAGGGGUCCAUAGAAACAGAGAUUUAUUAAGCCAAGGGUUUCGCUGGUUCGGAUCCUGGGCGAGGACAUGGCACUGCUCAUCAAGCCAUGCUGAGGUGGCAUCCACAUGCCACAACUAGAAGGACCCACAACUAAAAGUACACAACUAUGUACAGGGGGGCUUUCGGGAGGAAAAGGAAAAAAUAAAAUCUUUAAAAAAAAAAAGAAUGAAACAGAAAUUAAGACAUUCCUAGAUAAAUAAAAGGUGAGGGAGUUGCUUGCUAGCAGACCUGCCCUACAAGAAAUGCCAAAGGGAGUCCUUCAGGCUCAAAUGAAAGGGCACUCUACAGUAAUUUGAAGACGGACAAAGAAACAGUAACUACAUAGGCAAAUAUAAAAGCCAGUAACGUUACACUUGUUUGUAACAUCUCUUCCCACAUGAUAUAAAAAAAUAAAUGCAUAAAAAAAUUAUCAGUCAGUGGUGGGCCCGGUGGCGCAGUGGUUAAGUGCACACGUUUUGCUUCUCAGCAGCCUGGGGUUUGCCAGUUCAGAUCCUGGGUGCGGACAUGGCACCGCUUGGCAAAAGCCAUGCUGUGGUAGGCGUCCCACGUAUAAAGUAGAAGAAGAUGGGCAUGAAUGUUAUAUCAGGGCCAGUCUUCCUCAGCAAAAAGAGGAGGAUUGGCAGUAGUUACCUCAGGGCUAAUCUUCCUCAGGAAAAAAAAAUUAUCAUUCUAUGUUAAUGGGCACAAAAUGUAUGAAGAGGUAAUUUGUGGCAGUAACAUGCAGGAGUUGGAGCUAGGUAGCAGCAGUUUCUGUGUGUCAUUGAAUCUACGUUGGUGUCAAUUCAAACUACAUUGUUAUAAAUUUAGGGUGUCAAUUAUCCCCAUGGUAACCAUUAAGAAAAUAUCUUUAAAAAUGUAGACACAGAAGGAAAUGAGAAGGUAAUCAAAACACUUCACUACAAAAAUAAACACAAAAGGAGGCAGUAAUGGAGGAGACGAGGAACAAGAAAGGCACAAGACAUACAAAAGGCCAAUAGCAAAAUAUCUGAAAUAAGUCCUUCCUCAUGAAUCGUUACUUUAAAGAGCUGGGGUGACUAUACUAGUAUCAGACAAAAUAGGGUCUAAGUCUAAAACUUUUACAAGAGACGAAGAACAUCAUACAUUAAUAAAAUUCAUCUAGCAAUUAUAUACACUAAACAAAACAUCAAAAUAUAUGAAGUAAACAUUGACAGAAUUGAAGAGCCAAGAGCUACAGUAAUAAAGAUUUCAGUACCCCACUUUCUAUAGUGGAUAGAACAUCUAGAUGGGAGAUUGAUAAAAAUAAAGGACUUGAUGCUGUAAACCAUUAGACCUGACAGACAUGCACAGAACACUCCACCAGCGACAGAAUACACAUUCUUCUCUAGUGCGCACAGAACAUCCUCCAGGAUGGACCGUAUGUUAGGCCACAAAACAAGUCUCAACAAAUUGAAAAGGGAAAUUGGAGACUACAUUAAGAAUGAAAAUCAAGACUUAUGGGAUGCAGUGAAAGCUGUGCUCAGAAGGAAAUUUUUAGUAGUAAAUGCCUACAUUAAAGAAGAAAGAUCUCAAAUCAAUAAACUAACUGUACACUGUAAGAAACUAGAAAAAGGGGCCGGCCCAGUGGUGCAGUGGUUGAGUUCACGUGUUCUGCUUUGGCAGCCUGGGGUUGGCUGGUUUGGAUCCCGGG
rnacentral:lncRNA from 1 species